AUAUGACUAGAUGUCAUGUGUAUGAUUGAGUAUAAGAACUUAAACCGCACGGG
rnacentral:sRNA from 1 species